rnacentral:miRNA from 1 species
GGUCAGCUGACACAUCCCGGCCAAUCUCCAGCAGACCCUCCCUCCCAGACCCUCCUACUUCCUGGACAGCAUCCAUGUUGAAGCUGCCUUCAACAUGGAUGCUGUCCAGGAGGUGGGAGGGUCUGGGAGGGAGGGUCUGCCGGAGAUUGACGGUUCGCAACAUCUC